AAAAAAAAAGACGGCGUCAACUUCCCAAGGCUUUUCAGCGUCAAGAAAGAGGAGUUUGAAGGGGUAAGUCUAGACUUGUACAACGUAUUACAAGUUGCGAAAAAGUGCAGUAUCUUGGCGGUUGAUGUUUUAGUCUUGACGUAGUUAAAUCAUGAUUACAAGCUCAUUGCAUUCAAGUUUGAAAAUGGGAGGACAUUCAUGUGCAAUUUUUUUUUUACCUUCAAAACUCAUAUUUACCAUUAUUCCGAAAGGACGUUAAGACAGCAUUAGCAGCACAGAUAAAUUACAUCUUUAUUGUGUCUGUUACCCUUUUGUGCUAAAUAUUUCUGCAAUACAUAUAGGAUUUACGCUGCAGAUUACGGACACUGAAGACUAAGCAGAAAGCUCAAGUCUGGGUGGCCAAAAGUUACAUUUCAGUGAUCUGGUUACCGCCUCUCUCUGCAAACCCAAAGGAUCACUUUCCUCAGCGGAUCUACCCCAAUCAUCAUUAACGGGACCCCAGUGGAGAGAGUGAGCAGCUUCAAUACCUUCAAAUGCCCUGCAAAGAGUAGCUGAGCGCAUCUCCAGAACAUCUCUCCCCUCUCUGCAAGACAUCCACACCAGAAGAUGUAAAUCUAGGACUGUUAAGAUCCUUAAAGACCCCACCCACCAUGGAAAUCCACUGUUUCAUCUGCUACAGUCAGGCAGACCCUUCUGCAGUCUGAUGGCAAAGACGGAGAGGCUCAGGAGGAGUUUCUUCCCUCAUGUUAUCAGACUACUAAACAUGGACAUUAAACACACUGCACUUUAUAGACUGGUUGUUUAGGGCUACCCAAUAACUCUCUGCACACUGCGCUUUUUUGACAACCUAACUAGGCAUUUCAUCCUCACUGCACAUUGUUUACAUCUCUGCACAUCAUCUGUGUAGCAGUUUCUGUGUAGCAUCUCUACAAAUCAUCUGUGUAGAAGUUUAAUACAGUAUAUUGUGUAUAUUUCAUUAUUUGUAUUUAAUUAUCUCCAAAAAAAAAAAAAACUUUAUUUUUUUCCUGUUGUUUCAUUAUUUGUAUUUAAUUUUCUCUUAUUUUUUAUUUUUUUGCACAGUCUAAAAAAAGUAUGCCAGACCUACUUUUCACUGCUUUUUGCAUGUCAUAUAACAAAUAAAACUUGAAUUUUUAAUGGUUUGGAGCGUUACCUGUGAUUGAGUUGGUGAUAAAAAGGAGAUGGGGAAAUGAGUGUCUUAAAUUGGACUUUGGUACCAAUAUUAUUUUCCUCUUAAGUCUUGGAAUGUUUUUUUAUUAUUAUUAUUAACUCUUGUAUUACUAUUUAGAUUUUUUUUUCUUUUUUUUAAAUUAAAUGUUUAUUUGUAAAAUGUAGCCUACUUCCACGUGUGGCCUUUUGUAAUGUUGUUUCACCUAGAGCCAAGGGGGUUGUAACAAUCUAAACAAUAUAAUUCUCCCUCAGAUUUCAAACUUGCAAUAAAGAAAAACAUUCACAUACAGUAAACAUUUUAUUGCUCUAAAUUACUCAUUCAUUUUCUUGAUACUGAUAUAAUUAUAAAAUUAAUAUAAUUUAAUAUACUUGAAUGUUUGCAGUUGUCACAAAAUUAUAUAACCUCUUGUUAAUUAAAUUUAAACUACAAUGAAAAACAAUAAAUCUGUUUUUCAUUAGUAUCGCUACUUUAAGCCAUCCUCAUUCGCGCGCACCCCGACAAUGACGCAAUGUGAAAUUUCCGUUUAAAUCCCGCCCAUUUGUAAAAGUCCCGCCCACUAGCGGCAAAAGUUCCUCCCACUUGGAGCUCUCCGUGAAGUCCAGCCCACUUGCGGCAAAAGCUCCUCCCACUUGGAGGUCUCCGGGCUGCAGCGAUACCU